rnacentral:rRNA from 1 species
UAACCUGCUAAAUAGAGAUGCGAACCUGCGUUCGUAGGCUCUUCUUAGAGGGACUGACUACGUUUAGUGGUCGGAAGUUUGAGGCAAUAACAGGUCUGUGAUGCCCUUAGAUGUUCUGGGCUGCACGCGCGCUACACUGACAGAGGCAGCGAGUAUACAACCUUGACCGGAAGGUCUGGGUAAUCUUUUGAAACUCUGUCGUGCUGGGGAUAGAGCAUUGCAAUUAUUGCUCUUCAACGAGGAAUUCCUAGUAAGCGCAUGUCAUCAGCAUGCGCUGAUUACGUCCCUGCCCUUUGUACACACCGCCCGUCGCU